ensembl:lncRNA
AGCAAUGAAGUAGAUACAACUUCCAGCCUUCUCCCAUCAUCAUUAUGAGCAGAAAUGGGCGAAGUAAUGUGAUACGGUAAUACUGACAAGUUAAAUUUACAUGGCUUUCAUCAAGCAAAUGAUGCCCAUGCACAACCCAAACACUGUUGCACUGCCACUACGAGACCAGUGGGGUGCAGAGGGGUGUAACACAUACCAUGCCAUGUUUUAAGUUGCACACAGAGAUGAAAUUAGGCCUAUAACGGGCGCUAACAUGUAACAUCUGCCCCUUAUUAUUGACGUCAAUCACACAAUAUUUAAGGUCAGAUGGAAACACAUUUGGUUCAACUGAAACAUUAAAGUCACAUUAUGCAGGUAUUUUGCUGUCUAUAGUUUUGUAUAGGUAAGUCAUUUUUCCUAACAUCCUCUUAAUCAUUUUUAUCUUUGUAUUAAUGUGAUUGUAUACAUAUAGUACAUGCAUAUACAGACACAUACACCCCUUUAUAAUACAUUCAGACUAACUGCAAAGUAAUCGUCAUAUUUUAAACCAUACCUUCAGAGGCGGAGGCGGUGGAUUGGACUUCACCAUCAUUCUCAUUAGGCAGACUUCUUUUCUGGCCAAGGCUUAAAUUCUGCAUGAUGAUAUCUAUAGAGCAAGUGUACAUUUACCUCAACAAUCUAGACCAGCAAUAGCAUAUCCCCAAACAUCACCAAGAAAACAUUGAAACAUUCAGGUAAACACCUGGUUUAACAGUGAAAUGACCUACUUAGUGCUAUUUGAUCACCUGACAGCCAUGGCACAUUCAUGGAGUAUCAGAGUUUAAAGAUUCAUCUCUUUAGAACUCAUCAUUCUACAAUUGUGAACAUUCUAUGUCUACAAGCCCUGAGGUAUUCAUAUUAUGCCUAUUAUAGUUAUUAUUGUUAAUUUUACUGUCUGAUAUACAGUAUGCCUACUUAUCUGGUAGCACCGCCCUCUUGUCCUGAUGUGAAGGUGCAGUGUGUGGCACAUCAAGCCACAUAAACAUGUAUGAAGGGUAACCAUGAACACAAUCUCUUUCUCUGUCGUGGGUCAAUUUGACCAGUUUUUGAGAGUUUGCCUUUGUCUACGCAGUUUCUUUGUUCUAUUUUUUACAACGAUCCAAUAUAGCAAUGACGUAGAUGCAACUUUCAUCCUUCAGAUGAAAGAAGAAAAAAAAUGGGCGUAGUAAUGUGAUACGGUAAUACUGACAAGAUAACUUCACAUGGCUUUCAUCAAGCAAAUUAUGCCCAUGCACCACCCAAACACUGUUGCACUGCCACUGCAUAGCCAGUGUGGGUGCAGAGGGGCGUAACACAUACCAUGCCAUGUUUUUAGCUGCACACUGCGAUUAAAUUACGCCUAUAACAGGUCUAACAUUCAACAUCUGCCCCUUAUUAUGGACGUCAAUCACACAAUAUUUUAGAUCAGAUGGAAACACAUUUGGUUCAACUGAAACAUUGAAGUUACAUUAUGCAGGUAUUUUGCAGUCUAUAGUUUUUUAUAGGUCAUUCAUUUUUCCUAACAUCCUCUUAAUCAUUUUUAUCUUUGUACAAUCGCAUUAAUACAUGCAUGUACUGUAUGUGUAUGGACACAUACACCCCUUUAAUAAUAACCUCAGACUAAUUACAGAGUAAUUGUCAUAUUUUAAACCAUACCUUGAGAGGUAGAGGCAGUGGAGGGUUCCUUGUCAUCAGAAUGUCUCUCGUCACCAUCUGGCCAGGUCAGAUGUUGCCAUUAGAUAUUGAACAUUUUAGUUUACAUAAGCAUGACAGCAUGUACUAUUAAUUGCAAUUCUACAAACUAGCAAAGACACAGAUGCAACUUCCAUCCUUCUCCGAUGAUCAUUCUUAGCAGAAAUGGGUGAAAUAAUGUGAUACGGCAAUACUGACUGUAUCCUGAUAAGAUAACUUUACAUGGCUUUCAUGAAGCAAAUUAUGACCAUGCACCACCCAAACACUGUGGCACUGCCACUGCAAGGCCAGUGGGGGUGCAGAGGGGCGUAACAUAUACCUUACCAUGCCAUAUUUUGCACAUUACAAUGAAAGUACGCCUAUAACAGGCACUAAAAUCUGUCCGUUAUUAUAAAGGUGGUGUGUGUGGCACAUCAAGCCACAUAAAGGUGUAUGAGGGGCAACCAUAUUUAGAUAUUCCAACUUUGAGGGCUCCUAUUUGUUCCAUAUUAGUUCCGGUUUCUUCAUAUAAAAUGUAGUCAGUACAUGUUACUCACCUUUUUCCCCAGACGGUGUUAUUUUUUUCUUCAGAAACACCUUUAGAUAUUAAAAGACCUCAUGUUAUAUCAUAGGCAGUUUUUUGUUAUAGGCGAUAGCGUCAUGACACUGAUAGAGCCUAUAGAUGUCAAGGGUUAGGCAACAGUAAAAAAAAAAAUUGUAAUUCUAAAAACUCAUUAUGAUCAUGCCAUACCGUUUUGGAAAUCUGGAGCAUAACUGUUUUACAGUAUCACAAAAAGAAAUACUGUGUGAAAAAAAGAAUGUCUGUCAAUUUGCCACUAAAGUCUCCAGAAACUUCCAAAGUGACUGCUAAAAAGAAAAGGAGGAGCCAUUCACAGCUCACUGGCAAUAAACGGUAGGCUCUUACAGUGCCUAAAAUGCCUGAAAUUUUUAUAUUUUUUUUUACACAAUGUGUUGUUACUUUUGAACAAUUAAACAGCCAAUAUCCAUUAAACAGGCAACAUACAGUAGGCUGUAAGAGUUUAGGUUACAUGGUAUUUCAAUCUAUGACUGUGGUGUUGUUAGCAUCUUCCUCUGCCAGUUCAGCUACAGAAACAUUUACAUGUAAAAAACAUACUGGUGUUACUCACUGCUUUGUGGAUGACAGGAAUAUGUCUUUUUGUGUCUGUACCUGCAUUAGCUUGGGAAAUAGCUCAUCUUCUUGACAAGCGCAAAAAAAACAGGUUGGCCUCCAGAGGUCCAGUUCGUCUUUGUGCUUCUGACAGAUACUCUGUCCUACCAUUUCAGCGAAUUUGAGUAGCCAGUGUCUGUUGAAAUGAAACGUUUUCAGAUGGUUCUACUUUGUCACUUUAGAGAGCAAACAUAUCCGCCCCAAGAAAUGUAUAGUGUUAGCUGUCAAUCACUUCAGAGGAAACAUCGAGAUCUUUUUUAACCUGGACCCUAUUUUCUCAUCUGUUGGGUCUAAAUUUGUGCAACGAUUGACAUCACUAUAACUGGCAACCCCAAAACGGAUAAUGUAAUCCUAUGGGGCAUGCAUCUGCGUCAAAGUAAAUCAGAAUCAUGUUUAUUGGCCAAGUACAUUUUGACAUACAAGAAAUUUGACUCCGGGUUUAGUGGCUCUCAAUGUACUUACACUGAAAUUAUAGAGUUUAACACAACAGUUUAGGAUAAAAUAAAUAAAUAUAAUAUAAAAUAUAAUAAUAAAAUAUAAUAAUUUGUAGUCAACUGUUCAUUGGAGUGAUGGCAAGGGGGAAGAAACUGUUCCUGUGUCUGGUGGUUUUGGUGUACAGAGAUCUGUAGCACCCGCCAGAGGGGAGCAGUUGGAACAGAUUAUGUCCAGGGUGUAUGGGGUCUGCAACGAUUUUCCAACACAAACAGGCUCAUAAUGUUAUUAUAAGUGUCUGACUACAUGGAAAGGAUCCGUACCGAGAUAGACCUGUAAUUUUCCUACAGUUGUUGAGGUGAACAGACACAGGUAAAACAAGUAAACAGACACAGGUAAAACAAAUAAAAAGUAAACACUAAACAGACACAGUAGACAAGAGUUAUGCAGGUAAAGCGUAGCGUUGUUAAAGCAGAUCAGUGGCCAGGCAAUCACCCAUCUGAGAUUUACAGUACAUGACGAGACGCAUCCCGUCGCAGGACUUCAUUAUUACAUGUUUGGCCCGUGUGUUUCGUAUUGUUGUCUGUAGAUGAUAUUGACACGGAUAUGCAUUUUACAUUAACUGGUGAUGUUCAUGAUUGUUCGACAAGGUCUUCAACAUCUCGUCGUCACUGCCACAGGCACACAAGUAGGCCUGCUAUUCGUGAAAACUACGAAUCUGCGCACGACAACAUCUGGCGUUCAACACAUGGACUUCGGUCGCUACACAUGCAAAUCUCACAAGACAACAUGGCUACCUGUUAAACUGGAACACCAGUUAUAACGUUCUAUCUCAAUACUGAACCCAUUUUUUUCGUUUUUGUCCAUAGUGAAAUCUCGAUCGGGCUAAACAAAAAUCCCGAAGUUUCCCUAUAAUGUGCUGUGCAUUUGCUGUGGUUUACUCACUCUGUCUUGUUCGUCUGACAGUCAUUAUUGUGUUCCUGCUGUUGUUUAGCAGUACCUUCCAUGUUCAGACUGUGACUCAUGAUAAAUUGUUCCUCUGGUGUUGGUUGCCUUUCUCCUGAACAAAAGAGAUGGUUCGAUAUUCACGAGAUGUAUUCAUUUUCCAAGUUUAGGCGUUAGAUCAAGAAUGCUAUGUUAUCAAUUGAGAAAUAGUCCCUCUUACACAGCGUGCAGAACUAGCUGACAGUGUAGUCAAAAGGGGUUGCCCGAAUAGGUUAAAUAUCCUUAUACUCGGCAGUCACCCGAUUUAGAAGAUGUGAGUGUUCUUGAUUGUUAUUUAACAACCACCAACAAAUAAUUUACGCAAUAAAACGGAAUGGCCUGUCUGAAACCUACCUCUUGGAUGGCAGUAUUGGUCGGUGGGAACAAAAUAAUAGCUAUGCCGUCAGUCCCAAGCCUUCACAAACACAUCCAGUUUCGGUUUGACGACGUGGUCAGGGUCACCGUGGUUACGUUGGUUUUAUAUCAAACAUUGGUAAUUCGACAUUCAAAAACCGUAUUACAGACUUGCGUCUGUCGAUUUUCCAACCAACUUUAGAUCAACUUCCGUGUGAUGAAACCCUCAACUUGCGC